ACUGACACAUGGCACCCAAUGCCUUGGGGGAUCGUGGGAGAGGCUCCAGGAAAGAAAGGCAGAGGACCUUUUGACCUCAGGUCCUCAGACCCUAAGUCCAGCAGACAAGAUUUGUACAGAUGGACCGAAGAGUCAACACUGCUCCAACCAGUUUCCUCUGUGCCACUGGCUGGCUCAUCCAGGGCUACACCAAUCUAUAAUGCCUUGCUAGUGUGGCUUCAUGGUGGAUUUUAUGGUUGGACAAGAUGAACAGAGAUUUACUGUCAAACCUCAUCACCAUGGGACUUCUUGGAAGUCUUUCUUCAGGCAGAUUGUCACUGCGGAAUCAAACGGCAAGGAAGCACUUCAAUAAGAGCUCCGUCACUCCACAGGGAGCCCCAGUCCAAAGUGACACAGCCCCUGAACCAGUCAUCCACAUAUAGACGGGCUUGUUGGCCAACACAGCAUGUUCAUACAGCAGCACAAAAAAGUCUGGAAGUUGUCUCAUUUCCUAACAAAACAGUCUUGCUGUGCUUCGUUGGC